AUUGAACGCUGGCGGCAGGCCUAACACAUGCAAGUCGAACGAGUGGCGGACGGGUGAGACAUGUCUGGGAAACAGCCAGAUGGAGGGGGAUAACUGGGGGAAACGGUAGCUAAUAGCGAAUAUCUUCAACUUAGCCAAGAGUGGAUUAGCUAGUUGGUGGGGUAACGGCUCACCAAGGCGACGAACAAUAGCUGGUCUGAGAGGAUGAACGGCAACACUGGAACUGAGACACGGUCCAGACUCCUACGGGAGGCAGCAGUGGGGAAUAUUGCACAAUGGGCGAAAGCCUGAUGCAGCAAUGCCGCGUGAAUGAUGAAGGUCUUCGGGUCGUAAAGUACUUUUAGCAGGGAGGCGUUACCUGCAGAGAAAGCACCGGCUAACUCCGUGCCAGCCGCCGCGGUAAUUC
rnacentral:rRNA from 1 species